UGAGGAAUCUUGCGCAAUGGGGGAAACCCUGACGCAGCAACGCCGCGUGAGUGAGGAAGGUUUUCGGAUCGUAAAGCUCUGUCAGGUGGAAAGAAAUAUUUGUAGGUUAAUAGCCUGCAUACUUGACGGUACCACCAAAGGAAGCACCGGCUAACUCCGUGCCAGCAGCCGCGGUAAUACGGGGGGUGCAAGCGUUGUUCGGAAUUAUUGGGCGUAAAGAGCGUGUAGGCGGCUUGGUAAGUCAGAUGUGAAAGCCCUGGGCUUAACCCAGGAAGUGCAUUUGAUACUGUCAGGCUAGAGUAGGGGAGAGGAAAGCGGAAUUCCUGGUGUAGAGGUGAAAUUCGUAGAUAUCAGGAGGAACACCGGUGGCGAAGGCGGCUUUCUGGCCCUAUACUGACGCUGAGACGCGAGAGCGUGGGUAGCAAACAG
rnacentral:rRNA from 1 species